UCUUGCUCUGUCGCCCAGGCUGAAGUACAGUGGCAUGAUCUCGGCUCACUGCAACCUCCGCCUCCCGGGUUCAAGAGAAUCACUUGAAACUGGCAGGCAGAGGUUGCAGUGAGCUGAGAUGGUGCCAUUGCACUCCAGCCUGAGCUACAGAGCAAGACUCCAUCUCAAAAACAAACAAACAAAAAACCAUAUCUCUCAAAAUAAGAACAUUCUACCUAGCCCAAACAACAUUUUAUUACACACAAUUAUUAAUUUCUUAAUAUCAUCAAAUAUCCAAUCUAAAUUCCAGUUUCUCCAGUUAUCCUGAAACCGCCUUUUCCAGCUGCUCUGUUUUUCCAGGCUAGGACCACACAUUGCAUUUGUUCCCCUUUCAAUUCUCUUUUAAUCUAGCCCAGUCCUUCUCCUUGCUAUUGACUUGCUGACCAGUCUGGGCUGGUGUCCUAUAGAAUGUUCCACCUUUUGGGUCUAAUUACAUCCUCAUGGGUGGUUCCUCGAUACACAUUUCCUGUGAACUGGAGGUUAGAUCUAAACACUUGAUUAGAGUCACAUUAAACAUUUGGGCUGGGCAUGGUGGCUCACGCCUGUAAUCCCAGCACUUUGGGAGGCUGAGGCAGGCAGAUCGCUUGAGCCCAGGAGCUUGAGACCAGUCUGGGUAACAUAGUGAGACCCUGUCUCCACAAAAUAUAUGUUUAAAAAUUAGCUGGGUGUGGACUGAAGCAGGAGGAUCACUUGAGCCCAGGAGAUUGAGGCUGCAGUGAACUAUGAUGGUGUCACUGCACUCCAGCUUGGGUGACAGAGUGAGACCCUGUCUCAAAAAAACGCAAAGCACAAAAAACCACAACAUUUUGGACCAGACUACAUCAGAGGUGAUGUUUUUUCAUGGCAGAGGACACAUGCUAUCUGGAUGUCCCAUUAUUAGUAACUCUAGCAUGGACCACUGGCAUGGUUGAAGGGGGUCUGAUCCCACCAUUGUAAAGUCAUGUUUUCCUCCUGCAGUCGGAGAAUAUCCAGUCCCCCAUCAACUCCAUUUGCUAGUUUUUGACAAUUGCUAAUCCUUGCCUGAGUCAAUAAUUUAGUAAUUGCCAAAAAAAAAAAAGCUGACUUUUAAAUGCUAUGAUUCCUUUAACAUCUACUAGCUAUCAGCUAUCAUUUGUAUACUCUUUCCUUCAUCAUCUUGGGUUUCCCUGAAAUACAGUGGAAAGGCAAGAUAAAUACUUCAUUCUUUCUCUUUAGUUAUCUAUUUUUAAAGUAAGAAAUUAAUUUAGGCUGGGUACGGUGGCUCACGCCUGUAAUCCUAGCACUUUGGGAGGCUGAGGUGGGUGGAUCACCCGAGGUCAGGAGUUCGAGACCAGCCUGACCAACAUGGUGAAACCCUGUGUCUUCUAAAAAUACAAAAAUUAGCUAGGCAUGGUGGCAGGUUUCUGUAAUCCCAGCUACUCAGGAGGCUGAUGCGGGAGAAUCGCUUGAACCCAGGAGGCGGAGGUUGCACUGAGCCGAGAUCACGCCAUUGCACUCUAGCCUG
rnacentral:lncRNA from 10 species